AUUGAACGCUGGCGGCAGGCCUAACACAUGCAAGUCGAGCGGAUGAAGGGAGCUUGCUCCUGGAUUCAGCGGCGGACGGGUGAGUAAUGCCUAGGAAUCUGCCUGGUAGUGGGGGAUAACGUCCGGAAACGGGCGCUAAUACCGCAUACGUCCUGAGGGAGAAAGUGAGGGAUCUUCGGACCUCACGCUAUCAGAUGAGCCUAGGUCGGAUUAGCUAGUUGGUGGGGUAAAGGCCUACCAGGGCGACGCUCCGUAACUGGUCUGAGAGGAUGAUCAGUCACACUGGAACUGAGAAACGGUCCAGACUCCUACGGGAGGCAGCAGUGGGGAAUAUUGGACAAGGGGCGAAAGCCUGAUCCAGCCAUGCCGCGUGGGUGAAGAAGGUCUUCGGAUUGUAAAGCACUUUAAGUUGGGAGGAAGGGCAGUAAGUUAAUACCUUGCUGUUUUGACGUUACCAAAAGAAUAAGCACCGGCUAACUUCGU
rnacentral:rRNA from 1 species